rnacentral:rRNA from 1 species
UACGGAGGGUGCGAGCGUUGUCCGGAAUCAUUGGGCGUAAAGGGCGCGUAGGUGGCGGCUUAAGCGUGCGGUGAAAGCUCGGGGCUCAACCCCGAGUCGGCCGUGCGAACUGAGUCGCUUGAGCACUGUAGAGGCAGGCGGAAUUCCGGGUGUAGCGGUGGAAUGCGUAGAGAUCCGGAAGAACACCAGUGGCGAAGGCGGCCCGCUGGGCAGUGGCUGACGCUGAGGCGCGACAGCGUGGGGAGCAAACAGG